rnacentral:rRNA from 3 species
UAAACGACUCUCGGCAACGGAUAUCUCGGCUCUCGCAUCGAUGAAGAACGUAGCGAAAUGCGAUACUUGGUGUGAAUUGCAGAAUCCCGUGAACCAUCGAGUCUUUGAACGCAAGUUGCGCCCGAAGCCUUGGCCGAGGGCACGCCUGCCUGGGUGUCACACAU